CUAGAACUUCGGGGCAGUGAAAUGCAGCGUCUAUCCCUGUUACUGGUCACUAAGCCUGGAUUCUUUACUCUGCACAGAUGGGAAUUAGAAGCAGAGAAACUCUCAGAUUGCUGGGUUUCGUUUACACAUCCAUUCUGUUAGUCUGUGUCUUUUUAUUGGAGAGAAGAAGACAUCAGAAGAAGAAGAAAACAGGAAACAACCUAGGAACCUGCCACAGAGGGCCUCUGAAAGGCUCUACCCUGCAGACUAUCAAAGCAGACACUGAGUCUUAUGGCCAACUGUUGGUCAGCGUGAGUGCAUGGAAUCUUAUGUAAGAACUGGGAAAUAGUAAGAUCUGGAGAGGACAGGAACCCCACAAGGAGAGCAACAGAACCAGAAAAUUUGAACAUAGGGGUCUUCCCAGAGAUUCAUACUCCAACCAAGUACCAGAUCACCUCCCCCUGAGGGAAGAGCAGCCUUACCAGGCCACAGAAGAUGACAAUGCAGCCAUUCCUGAUAUGAUCUGCUAGACUAAGAUCAGAAGGAAGGAGAAGAGGACCUCCCCUAUCAGUGGACCUGGGGAGGGGCAUUCAUGAAGAAGGAGGAGGGAGGAUGGGAC